UACAGAGGGGGCAAGCGUUGUUCGGAAUUACUGGGCGUAAAGGGCGCGUAGGUGGCCUUCUAAGUUGAACGUGAAAUCCCUGGGCUCAACCCAGGAACUGCGUCCAAGACUGGGAGGCUUGAAUCCGGGAGAGGGAUGCGGAACUCCAGGUGUAGCGGUGAAAUGCGUAGAUAUCUGGAGGAACACCGGUGGCGAAGGCGGCAUCCUGGACCGGGAUUGACACUGAGGCGCGAAAGCCAGGGGAGCAAACGGG
rnacentral:rRNA from 1 species